UUCACUUAGGGAGAGGAGUCCCUCUUGUCAACUUAUGGAGACUUCUCCACAAGAAAACAGUACUCUUGUGGCUUUUAAUUGCCACGACAGCAGCUGUCCCAGAACUUGCAAUCGUGAAGUCCCUCCCAUCUUUCACAGCUUUCCCACAAUGCAUUUAUGGACCACCUCAACUUAUGGGGUACUAUUUUAAGGAUGAGCUGUUCAAGAGUAAAGUUUCUCUUUCUCUAUAUCUGAGAUCAUCUCUAGGAACAGAGGUCUUCUUCUUUCCCUGAGGGCAAAGUGUCUUCAUUACCCUUCUCUCUCUGUUCAGACUUCUUAUGAGAUCACAGCUACUUCAGCAUCUGCUUGCUUUAACACAGAUGCCUUUGCUCAUAUCUACAAUUUGAACACUCCAUCCCCCAUAUUUUUCAAUGAGUUACAGGGAAAAAGAGUCUGAUGUAUCAAUUAUAUUCUUCUCCAUAGCUUUACAAGAGGAUUUCAGCCCAAAACAAAAGGCAUCUCCUCAUCCCUCCCAUCUGGGACUUGACUCCUCCUUCUCUGACUUUGGUGUCUUCAUGUUGUUCCUCUGCGUGUCUUCACCCUGUCCUUUUCUCUCAGCUGAGGGAGGAUUGCAGGUCUGCAAGUCUCAUCUGUGCACUGAAAGAGUUAAUAUCUCACCCGAGGCCUGCAGAUGGUCGUGUGGCCCCAGCCGGGCUCGACACGGAGGAAACUGCUAGCAACUUCUCUUAGAACAUCACUUCCGUGAAUGCAAAGCCAGCACAGCAGUGGAAAUGUGAUGAACGAGAUGUGAAGCUAUCUUACAGUUAUCAGCUACUUCAAAUGAAAAACAAGUCAAUAAAUUACUGAGCAUUGACAUUUGAGGGAUAAAGUUUGUUUGAGAAGCUGACAUUGCUCAAACGUUAAACUCUUUAUCAAGUUAAUUGAACUAGUAUUGUUCUUCAAAUUUUUACUGAACAGACAGCAUUUAAAUUUGUUCCAUGUUAUCGAGUUUGGUUCUGCAUUGUGGGAGAUAAGAAAAGCCUACCAGAAUAUGGGCCCUUUUCACUGUUGUUAAAUGCUCUUCACUUCUGUUCACUCUUGCUCUGCAGAAAGCAGUCUGGGAAAGGUUCAGCUAACAGCGAGGUAAAAACCAGGUUAUAGAACCAGAGAACAAGUUGUAUAACUCGUGUGUGGUCACAUCAUGCGUGGGGCAGUGAUAGGUUGGGGAGAUGCAUGGACACUGGUGAUCGAAAAGGUAUUUGGUUAAAAGGUCAUAUGAACAGCAACACCUGCAGUGGCAGGCAGUCAAUGCAUGCUUGUUUUGCUGAUGUUUAGAGCAUUAAAAGGUCGGGUUUUUUGCAAUAGAUGAUUUCUGUUUACGACUUAUAAAAGGGAGUCCGUAUAUCUUUAUUCCUCAUUGCUACACUGCAUAUAGUAAUUUUCCUUUUCACAUUCUUCCCAUGUACACAUGCAAUGAAAUAGGCUAAAAAUAUAAUUUACACCACCAAAAAAAAGUGCUUUAAUGUAAAUGCAAAGUAGAAGUUAGGUCUUUUUUUAGUAUUUGCUCUCGCCUUGUAGUUUUACAGCAGUGAGUUUCAUGGAUAUGAUAGGACCCUAGAAGUUAUUACUGAGCUUGGAGUACUUCUGUGGUCUAUUCCAUUGCUGUGAAAUGCACUCUUUUAUUUUUCUUCUACUUCCUAUAUUUAUUUAAAAUAAGUGAUAGUGGCUUUGAGCGUUGAAAUAGAAAAUACAAUGCUGGAAUUAGAUGGUUUAUAGUAAUUUAUUUCAGUGCAAAACUUUGAUUUGCCCUGGAAAACAGAGUCUUAUGUUCGUUUUGGAGUAGUGACAGCCCCCUGCAGGGGAUGGAAUUUAAAUGCAGUAUCAUUAGCAUUCCUGUAAAUGUAGACGUACCAAAAGAAACCAUAACAAUUUUCAUAUUUACUGGUGUCAUUAAACACUUCUUUUGUCAAACUUG